rnacentral:rRNA from 1 species
CCUACGGGUGGCUGCAGUCGAGAAUCUUUUGCAAUGGGCGAAAGCCUGACAAAGCGACGCCGUGUGAAUGAUGAAGGCCUUCGGGUUGUAAAGUUCUUUUGCCAGCGAGCAAGAAAGAGAAGCGAAUAACUUCUCAAUUUGAGAGUAGCUGGAGAAUAAGCACCGGCAAACUCCGUGCCAGCAGCCGCGGUAAUACGGAGGGUGCAAGCAUUAAUCGGAAUUAUUGGGCGUAAAGGGCGCGUAGGUGGAUUAGAAAGUCAUUUGUGAAAUUCCGGAGCUUAACUCCGGAGCUGCAAGUGAAACUUCUAGUCUAGAGGAUGGUCGGAGGAAACGGAAUUCCACGUGUAGCGGUGAAAUGCGUAGAUAUGUGGAAGAACACCGGUGGCGAAAGCGGUUUCCUAGAUUAUUCCUGACACUGAUGCGCGAGAGCGUGGGGAGCAAACAGGAUUAGAUACCCGUGUAGUC